CAGCGUUAAAUAACUUUGCGCCGGAUCCAGGAGAGGCAGGCGUGGCUGCGCUAGGGACCGCGCUGGGGGAGGAGGGGAUGGGGGAGAUGCAGGGGUGCUUUGAGAACACACUUCCGUUCCUGCCACCCACUUAACAAGUUCUGGCCCGUGGACACACGCCCCAGAGCUCACAGCUUCAUGCCCCCUCGUGCACGGAGAGUCCGUUGGUGCCUCGUGGGCAGCGGCAAAAGCCGCAGAGGCCCCUCGCUCUGGAGAAAGCCGCGCCACAUUCGCAAGGCCGCCGGCGCGCAGGGGCCGUCGCCCACGUUUCACGGAAACCAUCUGCCCGGUGGAUACAUGCGAAGCCCUUCCUGCGGCGCUCUGGACAUUUGCGUAGGAUUCGCUUGAACGCGAUGGCUGCGCGGAGAAGGGGCAGGUUUCGCUGUAUUUUUAGCAAGGAGUGCAGAUUUUAGAACAUCAGCUGAACCUCCUCCUUCCGUCCUCCUCAUGCGUGAUGACUUGCCAGAAAAGUAGGAAUAGUGAGCCUUCUUUCACAUUUGUGCUGUAUAGGUUUAGAAGGACAGUGUGUAAAUCAGCUUGUAUAAUAAUCGUGGCGCCCACGCGCGUGAGCGGACUUGUCAUGAGCUGACUUCCAAUGAUUAUUUCGGUUUCCAGGGCGACGAGGUUGGCAGCCACCUCCGUGGAGAAGGAUGGAGCAGCCUCUUCAUCCCCACCACUGCAGCCUGAUUGAUCAGGCUUUGGGGGAGGAAGUGAACUGCCGGAGGGUCAUCCUCAGGCUGCCCUGGGAAGGGGGAACGGGCCAGCUGACACAGCCCAGGCCAGCAGGCAGGAGAAGCCCACGUUGAGGAGGAGGGGGCAGCAGCGUGUGGUCCCUGUCAGACGAAGCUUCCUUUUAGGGUGUCUGUCAGGCUCACGGAGACCCCGUAACUGCCCCUCCCUCACAGUGAGAACCCCUGCACCUGGGCUGGUUUCCGGCAUCUGGAACCAGGGCAUAAACGGAAAUGGCCUCUGCACAUUCUGAAAGCUGAUUCCAUUGCUUUCUGGCAGAAUCCUUUCUCCCAACCCCUCCAGGCUCACCAGUGAAGCCCCUUCCCUCCCAGCCACCCUGCAGCAUUCCUCCUGCCUUUCCUCAGUGUGGUCAGCGGGGGACCCGGAGCAGCUGCAGCCCACAGUUGGGUGAUUUGGGGGCUCAGGGGUCAGCAGGGGGCCACUCCGGAAAGAAUCACCACCAGACACCUUUCUACAGGCUGUCAGGGAAAGAGGAGUUAUUUUAAAAAUCACAGAGCCCACCCCAUGCCAGGCAUCUGCCCAGGGACCCUGUGGCACCUCCACAUGGGACAUGUCACUGCCUCCUGAAGACAGGGAGCCAGCGCCCAGAGACGAUGACGUUUCUAAACCGUCAUGUCUGUUUUCUGAUUACAGCAGUAAUCACAUAUUAAGGGAAGAAUAUUUUCCCUAUCUCCUUUGAAUUGCAUUUUAAUAUUUACAUAUUUGUUAGCAUUUAAAAACCAAUCUCUUAGAGUAUUGACUCCAAUUAAUUU
rnacentral:lncRNA from 1 species